rnacentral:ncRNA from 1 species
CAAGGUCUUGGUCUUGAACCUCAUAUUGUCUAAAAUAUUUGUUUAUAYAUGCAAGCCUCAACAUGACAGUGAGAUAGCCAUAUCAACAAUGUGAGCCGAUAUCAGCUAUAAACUAUAACACCCAGCAUAAGCCACGCCCCCACGGGUAUACAGCAGUAGUUAAUAUUAGGCCAUAAGUGAAAACUUGACCUAGCAAAAUAUGUGUAGAGCCGGUUAAUCUCGUGCCAGCGACCGCGGUUACACGAAAGACUCAAGACAAUAUUAACGGCGUAAAGCACGACUAAAACAAAGUACUAACCUUUAGAGGAAACUAACCCAGGCUGUAAAAAGCCAUAAGCUACAAUAAUUACUCUAAAAUCUAGACCUUCUUUGACUCGCAAAAGCUGGGAUAUAAACUAAGAUUAGAUACCUUANNNNNNNCAACCACCACUNNNNNNNNNNNNNNNNNNNNNNNNNNNAACAAUUACGAGUAGUAACUUAAAACUUAAAAGACUUGACGGUACUUCAUCACAGCCUAGAGGAGCCUGUCUAAUAACCGACAACCCACGAUUAACCCUACCCCCUCUCGCCAACAGUCUAUAUACCACCGUCGCAAGCUCACCCCGUGAGCGGUACAAAGUGAGCUACAAAGUUUUACACUAAAACGACAGGUCGAGGUGUAACCCAUGAGGGGGAUAAAGAUGGGCUACAUUCUCUUACUUAGAGAACACGAAUUUCACUAUGAAUAUAGAGACUGAAGGAGGAUUUAGCAGUAAGAUAAGAAUAAAACACCUAACUGAACAUAAARYAAUGAAGUGYGUACACACCGCCCGUCAUCCCUGCCUACACCAUAUUAACCUUCAUAAACCAAUUAAAUUCACUAACCAGGGCAAGUCGUAACAUGRUAAGUGUACUGGAAAGUGCACUUAGAAA